UAGUCUGUAUUACAGACUAACAGAGUUGGGAAGAUUGAAGACACAAGACAGGAAGGAAGAGCGAAGAGGAACCCUAAAUCGCAAAUCGUCUCCGACUCCAACUCCUCUCGUCUCCGACUCUCCACUCCAGCUCCUCUCCGUCGGUCACAUCUCGUCUCCGACUCUCCACUAUGGCUCUCUUUCCCGCUGAGCUUCUUUUCUGCUCCAAAUCCGUCACUCUCGACUCCGACUCUUGACUCCGGCUCCUCUCUGUCGCUCUCGUCUCCGACUCUCCUUCAAGCUCCCUUUCCCUAGUGAGAUUCUCGUCUGGACUCCACUGCUCACCUAGGCAUAGGAAUUGCUGACCUUUACUGCUCUGUUUUCUCUCGGGGCGGUUCCAGUUGAUAAGGAAAUCCUCGAGCUGCGAUGGAAAAUUUGCUUAACAAGAUCACUGUUGAUAAUGAGUCUGCAUGUGGAGUAUCAUCGACCAAAGUGGGCUCUAAGAAGUCAAGGUCCGAGGUUUGGGAUCAUUUUCAUAAGGGCCAAGAUGAGAAAAAUGGAAAGGAUGUUUCCAUUUGUAAUUACUGCAAUUCACUUCUUGCUUAUUGUGUUGAUUGGGGUACUUCAUCAAUGUGGAAGCAUUUGAAAACUUGCUCAAAAUAUCCCUAAAAUCUUGACAAAAAGCAAAAGUUGAUAUCAUUAUUUUCUCAAUCUGGAGUAGAUGGAGUAAGUGUCAAAUCAAUCACCACUUGAAAAUAUGAUGAAGAAUAUUGUAGGCACAUGUUAGCUCGAAUGGUUAUUGUUGAUGAGCAACCAUUUUCUGUUGUCGAGAAAGAAGGUUUUAGAAGUUUUGUGACAGUAUUGCAGCCUUUGUUUAAGCAUGUUUCAAGGUUUACAGUUGCUAGAGAUUGCAUGAAGCUCUAUGUUUGUGAGAAAAUGAGCCUAAAAGAUAAACUAAAAUCUCUAAAAUCAAGAAUUGCUCUCACUACGGAUAUUUGGACUUCCAUUCAGAAUUCGAGUUACUUGUGUCUCACUGUUCAUUGCACAAGAGAGUUAUUAAUUUUAUUGUUAUACCUAGCCAUAAGGGUAAGGAGAUUGGUAAGAUGGUUGAGAAAUGCAUCAAUGAGUGGGGUAUUAGAGAUUGUAUUUCGUCUAUUACAAUGGAUAAUGCUAGCUCCAAUGAUGUUGCUGUGAAUUAUUUGAAGGAUAAGUGGAAGAAUGUGCUUGUCUUAGAUGGAAAGUAUUUUCAUAUGAGGUGCACAGCUCACAUAUUGAAUUUGAUUGUGAAAGAUAGGUUGACUGAGAUUCAUGAUUCUAUUAAUCGAAUUCGAGCUGCAAUAAAAUAUGUGAGAAGCUCUCCAGCUAGAGCUCAGUUGUUUCAGCGUUGUAUUGUUGAGGAGGGAAUAACUUAUAAGGGCUCUGUUUGCCUUGACAUCUCAACUCGGUAGAAUUCUACUUAUCUAAUGUUGGAAACUACACUUAAGUUUAAACAGGCUUUUAUUAGACUUGAAGAUGAUGAUAGUGCUUUUAUCAGUGAACUUGAUGGUGGAGUUCCAACUAGUGAAGAUUGGGAUAAUGCAUCUAUGAUGUGUUCUUAGGAAACUUCUAUGAAGCUACCAAGAGAAUGUCUGAGAGUCUCUAUGUGACGUUUAAUAGUUAUUUUCUUGAAGUUGUUAGCAUGUUUUCUAUUUUGACUGAGUGUGCGAGAAAUUCCAAUCCCUGUCUUCGAUCUAUGGCUAGAAAAAUGAAGGAGAAAUUUGACAAAUACUAUGGAAGUGUGGAUCGAACAAAUAUGAUGGUAUUGAUAGCUGUGGUGUUGGAUCCUUAGUAUAAAUUGAGGUUUCUAAAGUAUUGUUGUCGGAGAAUUUGUGGUGAUUCUGGUAAAGCAGAGGAGAUGGUUCAGCAUAUAAUGGAUGUCUUGGAGGGUCUUUUUUCAUUCUAUAAGAAUAUUCAUUCUUCUUCAGUGAGUGAAAGUUGUACUUCAACUGCUGAGUCAAUCACUCAUUCACUUCUUGAGUCCAGUAGUUGUGCCAGGAUUGUGAAUCCCAGAAAACUAGUGAAAGGUUGGCGUGAAGAUGAUGAAAAUGUUCAAGAAAUUGGGUCUAAGUCUGAAUUGGAGCAAUAUCUUGAUAGUCCUACCGAGUCGGAAAGUGAUUCAUUUGAUGUAUUGAGGUGGUGGAAUGAUAAGAAAUCAAUCUAUAAGAUAUUAAGUUUUAUGGCAAAAGAUAUCUUAGCCAUUCCGGUGUCCACAGUAACCUCAGAGUCAGCUUUCAGCACAUCUGGUCGGGUUCUUGAUCAAUUUCGUAGAUCUCUCAUUUCAAAAUUUGUUGAAGCUUUGAUUUGCGCACAAGAUUGGUUGCGCUCUUCUCCAACUCCGAUCACUAUUGAGCAAUAGUUGGAGGAUGCGGAAAAGUAUGAAGAAGUUUUCUUUUUAUAGAACUCAACGGCGCCACGACGGAGAUUAUGGUGAAUUAAUGUGUGGAGCAGCUACAAGCAACGGUAGACAAAAUUGGUCAGGGACUUCACAAUUCCCUUCCCUUGCCUAUCAUAUGAGAUCUUUUGAGUUAUCUUUUUCUAAUCCUGUAUUUUUUCUUAAGAUUAAAGUGUGAUUUUUCUGCUUUUGGAUAGAUAAACUUUUUAGUUCAUGUACCGUAUUAGUCCAUGAUGGACGUAUUGUAAGCAAAUAUUACAUUUUAUUGUGUAAGAUCAUAUUAUAGAUAUUUAGUUUUGUGGAUGGAUUAAUGAGACAUUAUUUUUUUAUUGUUGUGGAUUAAUCUAAA